UACGUAGGGUCCUAGCGUUGUCCGGAAUUACUGGGCGUAAAGGGCUCGUAGGCGGCCAACUAAGUCGGAUGUGAAAUCCCCAGGCUCAACCUGGGAACUGCAUCCGAUACUGGAUGGCUUGAAUUCGGGAGAGGGAUGCAGAAUUCCAGGUGUAGCGGUGAAAUGCGUAGAUAUCUGGAGGAAUACCGGUGGCGAAGGCGGCAUCCUGGACCGACAUUGACGGCUGAGGAGCGAAAGCCAGGGGAGCAAACGGGG
rnacentral:rRNA from 1 species